GGAAUCUUGCACAAUGGAGGAAACUCUGAUGCAGCGAUGCCGCGUGAGUGAAGAAGGCCUUUGGGUUGUAAAGCUCUUUUGUAGGGGAAGAUAAUGACUGUACCCUAAGAAUAAGGUCCGGCUAACUUCGUGCCAGCAGCCGCGGUAAUACGAAGGGACCUAGCGUAGUUCGGAAUUACUGGGCGUAAAGCGCGCGUAGGCCGUUGAGUCAGUUAAUUGUGAAAUCCCAAAGCUUAACUUUGGAACUGCAAUUAAAACUGCUCGACUAGAGUUUGAUAGAGGAAAGCGGAAUACAUAGUGUAGAGGUGAAAUUCGUAGAUAUUAUGUAGAACACCAGUUGCGAAGGCGGCUUUCUGGAUCAACACUGACGCUGAGGCGCGAAAGUAUGGGUAGCAAAGAGGAUUAGAUACCCUCGUAGUCCAUACCAUAAACGAUGAUUGCUAGAUGUUGGAAAUUUAUUUUCAGUAUCGCAGCUAACGCAUUAAGCAAUCCGCCUGGGGAGUACGACCGCAAGGUUAAAACUCAAAUGAAUUGACGG
rnacentral:rRNA from 1 species